CUGCCAGAGGUCACUGUCAAAAGCAGGAUCCCUGUGUAGCUGAUCUUGGUCUGCUGUGACUGAAGGAAAGGACUGAAGCACGAAGACGUACAUCACAUCAUGAGCUGGAGAAAGGGAGAGAGGAGUGAUGUGGCAGGGUGCUGAGGAAGGGCAAUGUGUCAGUUAUGGUGAGAACUGGGGAAAAAAGGAGAGCUGUGAGAGACACUGAUCAAAUAACAUAAAGUUUAGGAGAACACAAAGACAGCGAGGCCAUGGAAGUGACAGAUCUGCCUAACAACCUAAGAUGUACAGAAGUACAAUCCUUUUGUUGCCCAGUGUUCAUUGAGUUAUUGCACACCCAAUCUUCUUUCCACUGCGGUACAGCAAAUUAUACAUAUGUUCCAGGUUUAUGCUUGAUGCAGGACACCAUGCAGAAUAUCACACGAGCAUGCAAGGCUAACAGGCAGCUUUAGUCCAAAGCACUGCUCUUUAUGUGGCACAAAGUAAUAGCUGCUGUUGUAAAACAUAGUAGAGCCUGUGACCUGCUGAUCUGUUUCUCCAGUGCUAACCUAGUAGCUAAAAUAACCCAGUAGGAUCUUCAGGCAAAGUGCUCCAGAACUGAUAUGGAAAUGCUGAAGAGUCAGAACCUUAUUUCCCUUUAUUCAUCUUCCAGGCCUCGUGCUGCCUGGCUCAUGUCAUGAAGAAGAAAGCCAGUGCUAAUGAAAGGAUGGAGAUCCAGGAGGAUAAAACCUUCUUGCCAUCACAGAUUCUCUUUGUCAAGCGAUAGCAACUUGUUCAACUAGUUGUACAGCAGGCUCAUGCUCUCCUGAAGUGGUUUCUUUUCCAUCAACGGUUGAUUGUUACCCCUUAGAGCAUAACAAAACCAUAACACCUCAGAUGUUACUUGCUGGUGGCAUGACAGAUGCUGUUGCUGUUGUAAUCAGCAUGACAUGCAGGGGUGGUGCUAGCUCACUAAAAUUAGAAAGAACUGAAGGCUCACCCUAAAGUACAAACAUUGUUAUUAUGUGACUUGCUUGUUUUUGUCAUUUAACUAGCAAUUGUCCCAUCAGAACAGGGAUAAUGCAUGGCAGAUGAAGAACAGUGAUUUUAUUGAACUCUCUGUGCAGGUGACUCAUGUUUUGCACUAUUUGCUUUUUUUGUUGUUGUUGUUUUUGGUCAAUUUAAUUUAUUGUAAAAGACCAACUGCUGUCCUACCAGGCGUGCCAGGGGAGGAAAUGUGAGAGCACACAAAAUGCCACAAAAAUCUUCAGUUUGGAAUUGUUUCACGCACUUAAGGACAUUCCUGCUGGCUUGCUUUGAAAAGUUAACUUUACCUCCACACCAAUUCGCUCUCACCUCUGAUGAAAUGCAUCCAGCGCCUCCAUUUUUCUGCUUUCCCAUUCUCAGUGAAUUCUCACUCUGUGGGAAGUCUAAGGGGGAGAGAGUUGGUCAGAGUGGAAAAUUAAGGUGACAUUAUAAAGCCUCCUCAUGAAAUGCAUCAGUGACAGUCACGUCUCAAAACUCCAUGUGAGCUGACAGCCACUGGAGGGUGGGGAGCGUGUGGAGGUUUGACUUGUGGAUAAAUCAUGAAGAGAAAAAUAAAACUUUCCCAGAAGGAGAGCUGCCAUGAAUGCUUGCAAAGUAGUUUAUUUGCUCACCACAGUGUUGUUUUUUUUUUACAGUUACUUGAAAAUGUGGGGUUUUUCCAGUUCUUUUUCUUCCUAAGUAAGAAAUCUUGUUUGAUUACUAACACAUACCUGAUGCAAAAGAACAGAAAGACUUGCUUUAAACAUGCCAUAUUAAUGUUUCCUGCUGGUACUCAUAUCCUCUUCCCCCUAUGUAACUAAUAUCCCAUGAGUCUAAUACUGAGGCAUUAGCUUAACUGCUGUGCAGUUAACAAAAUAGUGACUUGGGGAAAGUACUGACAUGCAGAGAGAAUAGAGGGAUGUUCAUUCAGUUCUGCCCCAACUCCUACAUCUGCUGUUAUGACUAUGGGGAGGAAACCAUUUUUGACAGAAAAAGAGGGCAGAGAAGCUGUAGGUAAUUGAGGACAUGGCAGGGAAGGCAAGGAAGAAAUUGUAUGAAGAGCUGAUGUCAAUGGCAUGCGAAUGACACGGAUGCUUCUACAGAGAUGACUACCAUAAAAUGCAGUGCUCAUUCCAUCAGACAGUGGAGACGGCGUCAUCCAAGUUGCUUGACAAGCUGUUCUUAAAUAGCACACUUGAAAUUUGAAUGUUGACAGCUAGGAAUAAAACAGAACAAAUCUCUUGACCAUGAAAUACAGAAGAUAAGGAACUCAAAUCACUAAAUAUGGUACUAAUACAUUAUUUGUGGAAUCCUAGAAAAACGGGAAAGGAAAAAAAAGGAGAGAAGGGGGAGGAAACCUCAAUUUCCUGAUGCUGUGUAGGAGGGGCUCUGGGUCUUCUCCAAUGAAGACGGGUUAUUACAGAUGGACUUUUACCCAACCUUAGUGAGCUGCUGUGCUGACAGUGACUGGAGAAAAAGAUAAAAAAGAAAAUAUCCCUGGAAAGAGCUGUGCUGUGUUCAUUGGAUAUUGCUGUGUGUCCUUGCUUCUCAUCUGCUAGUUGGAAAGGAGUGCCAAACAAAAGCCUUUUUGUCAUGAAAAUCACCCACCAACCUCUGCCAGCUGUCAGUCAGAGGAACAAUAAGUGUGAGAGUCGAACAUGCCACCCACCAAAAACAUGUAUGUGAGCUUUAGUUAGAGGAUGAAGAAAGAAAUUUGCACUCGCAAUAGUACAACACAACAGCGUGGAAACAGCUCUGCCAGUGCAGCUCCUUUCCCCCACCCAGUGAGGUGAUGGGACCAUCUGGAUUUAUCUGGGUUCAAGUUUUCAAGGGCACAGUUCCCAUCAACACCACAAAACGGAAAUCAUUUGUUCCCAGACCUGAUUGCAACACAAGUCGUAACUGAGUCCUUGACUGUUACGGUCUAGAUUGGGCCAUAGGCUAAUUUGGGAUGAACCGAGAAUAUAGAUGGGAACAAAUAAGAGAGAGGAAUGUCAUAGCUUGCAACUAAAUUCAGCUACUGCUCAUAAACAAGAAAUGGAAAUCAAAAUCCCCAGGCAGGCACAAAGGGUUUUGUGAAGCUGUUCUUGUUCACAUGAUGCAAUCUUAAGGUUUGAUGCCACCAGAAGGAAUGACUUUUCACCACUUCCUUUCUCCUUCCUGCUGCCAGCUGAUAUGGUUGGAUACUGAAAAGUCCCCAGUGACGCUACACCCUACUCACAUGUCAGCAUGACAACCCCAAACAUGGGAGAUGACACCAUGGCAAGUACACUGGAUUAUGCCAAAGAGUGACCUUUAGUACAACAGUCGGCACCUGGACCUGUGAUUUUACAGGUGGUACUACUAUGUUGCUACUGCAGUUCAGUUUGUUUCCUCUGUGUAAUCUUCUAAUGUUUCACAUGGAAGUUCAUCUCUGAGGAUCCUGCACUGAUCUGCCUGGUAUCGCUCUGCCUCCUGCACACUGCUUUCACAAUGCGGACACAGAGCAGCUCCUAUGGUGGGCACAGGAGCCAACCAUACAAAAAACGAAAAGCAAAGACUCUAUGGAAAGGACUUGUAACUACAAGGAAAAUUGAAAAGGCAAAUGAGAGAGAAAAAAGGUCGAUCAGAAAUCCAUCUCCAGAGAUCGCAAGAAAAAUCUAAGAUUCCAAGUUGCGUUUUGAGGAAGCUUUAAAGUAGACUUCUCCAUCCUGUGAGAUGACCCUGAGCAUCGGUAAUGAUCUGCGGGAGGCAGGGGAGAGGGAAGAAGACUGCUCAAUGGGAGGCACUGCAGCCCUUCUUGAAGGGCCCCUCAUCCCCAUCCUGCAGAAUCUGAGUUCCUGAAGUGGGCACAGCCAUUACAGAGCGGGCAAUGGGAUGUACAGCUUUGUACAUCAUCUUAAGAGAGAUGUAAGUUAAGACUGCUCUGGUCUUGUUCCCUCCUUGAAAACAACAUUAGCGCUGAUGUGCUGCAAAGUGAGUCAGUUUGGAAAAGUGAGUUGUCGAAAAAGUAAUGCUGCAAGGCAAAAAAAGAAAGUAAUUAUUUCCUUAUAUGCUUGCCUUCCAAUAGCAGCAAUGCCAACUAGCAGGAUGUGUGGCCAUGGCUAAGGAGAAGGUGGACCCCUUCUUUCCUUCUCAGAAGGGCUCUCACCCUCCCCUCGAGGGAGAAUAUCAAAGGGGAGGAUAUAGCCUACAAAUCCUCUAUCUUAAAGAAAGGGGACCUUUGCACAGCCCACACCUCUGAAUCAAAGGGAACAUCUUCAUUCCCUUCCUCCCUGUUGUCAGGCUAUUGGGAAGUAGUUGACACAGCCCUUAUCAAAGGAAAUGUGGUCUUCUCUUCUGCUUGUCUACUCAGUGUUAUUAUGUCAACAGAGAUCAAUAAGGCGACACAAAUCCUAUCCUAUUACCAGUAUUCAGCAGCAAAUGAAGCACCCUUGAGUUCAGCAUAUUAUCAUUUCAUGCAGUCUACAAUUAAAGCUUUAGAUAAGAUUAAUUGCUUUCAAGGUGAGCCUUUACUAUUGUCUCCUUAUAAUGGAGUCUGGAUCCAGUGGAGCCUGGCUUUAUGUCACUGGAAGAAAUCACAAACAAUUUUGCACUUGGAUUGAAAAGAUUUUUUUAACAGGCCUUGUGUUUCUUCUCUUAAAUUUCUCUUGAGAGAAAAGUAACUCCCUGGCAAUAAGCAUAACCAGCACCAAUGGUGAAAGUGGUUAAGAAUUACCUACAGCUGGUAAUAGUAAAUUUACUUUUAGUUCCUCCAAGUAUAAAUAUUUUAGGCACCCUGUUGUUCUUCUGAAGCCCCAGAUCAGAUGAAAUGCAGCAGUACUCCAAAAGAAAGCAGAUGUAAGUGCUGGACGGAGUGACCAGAUUCCAGCACCUAUUUCUGACAGCUCUUUUCCAUACAAAAAGCUGAGAGAAGGGGGAGGACGGGACCCUACAUUCCACCACAAAACACAGCUGCUUAUUUAUCUAUUUGUCAUUCUGCUGCAGUUGAGAGUUAUGCCCAGAUGAAAGAAACCAGCUGGGUGCAACAAAAGCACUGGGCACUCUGCUGAUGGAGGCACUGCAAAGCAAAUCCCAGCUUGCUACAAGGAGUGAGAAUUGUGUGGGGUGGAGGAGAUGCCACUGUGGCUCCUAAAGGGAUAACGGUGAAAGAAUUGAGCAGGAUCUCUGGUCUGCUACUAUUCGUACACCUCAACCACAGCUUUGAAGAGAAUGGAUAUUUGAGUAGCAUAGUUAUGCCUGGCCUUACAAUAUACGGGCCAGGAAGCAUUAACUUGGGGUGUAAGUGCUAAUCUUUCCCACAAGGGAAAAUCACCCCUGUUUUGAGGUUCCCUCCUGCCUAUAUUUUUCAGUCCUGCCAACUAGAAACCUGUGCUCUUGUUAUUCACUCUUGAGGGUCUUAGAUAUUGCUCUGAUUCUCAGGAAGAUGGGCUUUCUGGAAAGCACCUCGUAUUACAAGAUUCAUGGUAAAAGCUUUGUUUAAACUGCUAAAUUGUAACACAGGAAAGCACAGGAGUUAGGGGGGAAAUGUGCAUCUCCCUCUCUGUCCUUUCCCAUUCUGUGAUGAGCUCCUUUCCCACUCUGUAAUGAACUCUGCUUCCUAGUUACAAGAUCACGAAGCAGUUUUCUUCUCAUUGCUGAAAUAUCAUCAAACCCUCCUCCACAACACUGAAAAUGUUUUGAAUUAUAAAAUGAAGGGUGAGGUUUUCCAAGCGUGGCUGGGGGAGAAGAAUGACUUGUCCCCAAUAUGAUGAGAAGGAACAGGGUCUCUGCCUCAUCAGGGCAGCCCUCCUUGGGGGAUACCAUAGCUGGGACCCUUCAGUCUGUUGUGCACGGAGCAGUGAGAGGAUAUCGGCUGUGGGUGCUGCUGUGCAUGGUUAGCAAAGGAUCUGUUUCAAAGACACAGAAUUCCCAAGCUGAUCUUCUGUGGGCAUCUGACUGCAGCUUCUUCAGAUACAAGUCAUCCCUUCAGUUAACAGCCCUACCUGACAAGGAGCUGAAGGGCUAAUAGGAUUUUGUGAGGCACUGGCAGCAUUGUUUUACUGCAGAUCUGAUUACACACUGAGCAUUCAUUUCAUGUAGGCUCCCCAUAGCAGGAGGUGUUUGUCUCCUGUGUGAGGACUGGCACAGCACUGUACCAUGCAGUCUGGUGUAGCUGAGUGGUUUGGUGCGAUCCAGAUCAGGAUUCCUGGGAAAGCUCUCUGCUUGUACCAAGCUUUUAGAUGACUUUCAGUCAACUGUCAGCCCACCUCACCAUGCCACCCAAACCACAUCCCUCAGUGACACAUCACUACCUUUCAAGAAUACCCCUGGGGAUGGUGACUCUCCCACCACCCUGUGCAGCCUACACCACUGCCUCGCUGCUCCUUCUGAGAAUAAAUUUUUCCUAAUGUCCAACCUGAUGUUGCUAAACUAAGGUUAUGCAGGAUAACAAGAAUAGGUCUUACAAAACAACAAGAUAAAAAUGAUGGUAGCUGUAACAGGCGUUUGAUGGUGAAGGAGAUUUUAAACAGUCCAGAUAUAAAGCGUAUCCUUGGGGCCCUGGCAAGGAUGCAAACUUCUCUCCCACACAACCUCAGUCACUCUUGGAAAGCCAAGUUCUGAAAUUUUAAAAGGCAAAAAUAUUACAGCAACAGCAACAACAAACAUGCGAAUCAGAUGUUAAAUGACUGCUAAUGAUCUUAUCAAUGUGUUGUGUAAACAGGAGGAAGAGGACAGAAAGAAGCAUUCAACAUUCCUCGGGGUUUUGCAGGGAGGUUUCAGUUUUAUAAUGGCUUUGUGGUGUUCAGGGGAGGCAGGCAUAUGGACUCUUUCAGCACAAAAGAAGCCAACUUGAGAAUCAAGUAGCAAGAUCCUGUGGGAAGUUAGGGUUUUUGUCUAGACAGCUAAUUACAGCUUUUUGCAGAACCCAAAUGCCUGGGAGCACCUACAGCAGAUUGCAGCAUUGGUGGGCAUCCCAGCAAGGUCCCCAUGGGCGGUCGCAUACUCAUGCCAUGGCACUGUGUCCCUCCUGUAGGCCAUGCUGGGAUGAGUGGAAAUGUGACAGUCACGUGGAUGUGUUGUUUUCUCAGUGCACUGCAAGUCUCUCUGUAGACCGUUCCAUCCAGUUAUUCAACACUGCUCCCUAGCAUUAAGCUUUUCAGGCCUUUUCCCCAUUGACUCUUCUCUUUCACAGCCCUAAAAGCGAUAAAGGUGUCAUUUUAUUUUUUGAGGGCACUACAAGGUUGGAAAAAAACCUUUGUGUUUGUCAGCACGACUUCAUUUUACAACUGUUCCCGAGCUGUAGUCUUUAUAACUGGUCGAUGGAUUCUAAUUAAAUUGUUUAGCUGACAGUUAUUGGCUUUGUGUGGGGAUAUGCUGAGCCCAUGGAAAAUCUGAAAGUUGUCAAAGGUCAGCAGAGAAUAACUGACUUGCUAGGCAUGCCGUGUAUAGAACGUACUUAAAUACAAAUAUUAAGUAAUGCAGAUUGUUUUGUACAAAUGAGGGUGCUUUUCUGUGUUGGGCUGCUUUAUUUCUUCUGUUUUUAAAAGCAAAGCACAUCUCAUUUGCUGCAGAAAACAAAAGCUUGUUGGGAUCAUUACAGCUAGUACUGCAUCCAGGCCGCUGUUUGACCAUGUUUCCUUUGAAGAUGAAGCUGGUUCCAGAGGGUGCAUUGGCCUUGGGUCCUGAUAUUCAUCCUGUGGUUGUGGCCUAUGCUGUGACCACAGCAAUGAAAUUACUGGAGGGUUUUGUAGGAUGUUUUAACCUGGCUUUGCAGAACUUCCCAUCAAAAGAUAAAACCUAGCAAGUCAAAACGGAGCGUAAUCUGCUGGAUUAAUGAACUGAAGAGGGACUUGGAAGCCCUAAAGCCAACAUGGAGGAGAACCUUACUCUGGAAUUGGAAUCACAGACAGGAGCAAGCAGGGAUGGAAGGAGGAAAAGCUUUUCCCGCUAUCAGUUGCAGCAGGCUGUGGGGUUGGCUCCUAACGGCAUUUCAUUUCUGCGUGCUGUUGGUGCUGAAAAUAACCCUGCUAAAAAAAAAACCACAGGUUGUGGUUUGGCGUUGGGUGGAUUUUGUGUGCGCAGCUCCCAAGCCUGGCCCCACCGCCACUUGCAGGAAAAGCGAUCUGGGGAUGGGGUAAGCAGCAGGGGAAGGAGCUGGCAAGGGGUGUGCUGAGCCGCUGGGGGAUUCUUCAAGCCCUGUAUGAGUAAGCUGUGUCACACUGUGCAGCCUGGCUCUCAUUUUCUUUUCCUGCUACAGCAGUGUGUCGCCUGCUUUGCCUUGCUCUCACCAGUAGAGAUGUGGUAGCCCAUUGGCCUUCCUGCUAAUGUGGAAACAAGUUUAGCUUUCAUUUCUCUGCUGGCUGCUGUGAUAAGCAGCCCCCAAAAUGUUUCCAUUGCAGCCAUCAUGUCAGUCCAGGCCUUGAUGCAAUUGAACUUUGAAGACACUUAGCCCUCCUUGUAACACAGCUUUAUUUUGGUCCUGUGUGGUUUAAGGUACCAGACUCCCACUGGAGUUUACCUAAGGACUUGGGAUCUCACACCAUGUUUAGUGAUAUAUGGAUACUUUGAAAAAAACAUUGGUUAAUUUUUGCUUUUCUUACUUAAAGAAAACCUGAGGUCAGAAACGGAGCUUUCUCAGGAAAUCUGUGGCCAGAGCAGGAAAGAGGACCCAGGUGUCCUGAGCUCUUAAUGUUCAACCUUUCCUCCCCUGCCCCCAGGCUGCCUGAGAGCAUGUUUGGAAGGAUGCCUGCUUGCUCAGAUACGGUGCAGACUUUCCUUCUUCUCUCAUCACAGCUGGAAACAUCUAGGAGGUCCUUAUAUGCUCAGCCGGAACACAUCACUCUGAGUACGUAGAUGGAACGUCAGGACCAAGACUGAGUGUGUGGCACCGAGAAGAGAAAUCCCAUCUGUGCUGUGGAGCAGGAGCUCAGUUUUGGUUGUGAUUUCUCCCUACCAGCUGGUCUGAGUAAUUACAUAAUGUAUCAAGCCAAGACAUCCUGCUUUAUGCAACAAGUAAAUUCAUUUACAACCAUCUUUUAAAGCAAAGAAGAUAUACACUGCAUGUCCUCCUUUAACUGCACUACUUUUAAGAGUGCAAUCAACAAGCUAUUAAUUAGCUGGCUAGCAGAACAGUCUCAGAGGAGGCUGUGCCUGUUUUUCUUCUGCCCAGGACCUGUUCUGGUAUCAGGAGGUGAUGGGGUAGGUGCCUGCUGUGGCACAUGACCUUUCUCAAGGUGUGAACAGAGCUUGCUUGGUUGCCUCACACCCAUCACAGGAACUGCAGGCUGAGUGCCUGGGAACAGAUUGCUUUCCUGGUUGCAUCUGUGCUGUUUCUCCCCAUGUGGACUGGAAAAUGUGUAUGGGACAGGCUCCAUACAGGGGAACAGGAGGGCGUUGCUGUAGGUAUUAACACUGGCAAAAGGGAAAGCCAGCACUGUAUCACUGCUCUCUUCUUGGAUCCAAGACAAGGUCUCACUGUAAGGUACAAAGGAAUAAGUCCAACCACAGCCACUGUCAGCUCUGCUUCCCCACAACCAGACACAGUAUGUUAUGAAGACAGAACCCUGGGGAAGCAAGAACUCCACCAGAGAGGGAACAGGUGGAGGAAACGUGAAAUACAUCCCAGCAAAUCCAUUAUGGACAGUAUUAGCACUUCAUCUGCAACGCAUGACAUUGUAUCACUGUUCCAGCUGCCGAAUCUUUGAAGUGCCUUCGGAAACUUGUUCAGAACUCUGGAGGAGGAUUUAGCUGCUGAAGCUCCCCAACCUGUUUCAGCAGGGGGCUGUGGGCAGUUGGCAGUUAUUGGCAGGACGAGGCUGAGGAGCUAAUGCUGGUGCUCACAGGAAGGAGGCAGGCUGACAUCGUGGGUUAGGAUUCCAAGGAAAUAUUAGUAAAGAAUAGUACAUUUGUCUUUUUCCCUGUAGAAUACACAGCAAGGAUGCAAAUCAACAUGCACACACACCUGUGGGUGAUUGACAGGUUGGGCUGUUAUUGCCUUAUCCCUUGCACCUGCUUGCAUAGCUGUGACACCCAGAUUUGACUCUUGGGGAUUUCAUGUGCUGUGAAGAUGCAUCUUAUGUUGGGUGAUAUCCUUGAAAAUCCCUGUGCUAAACAGAGCAAGAGCAAAGCUAAUAAGUGAGUGGGGGUGGAUAUUAAGAGGUCAAUAAGAAGGGAAGGGAAAAGCUUCUGGAUGCCAUUCAGGAUACGAUGGCUGGGUAGAGUCAGAAUGGGAAUAUUACAGAGGAACAAGCCAGAUCUAGUGCAAGUAGAAGCCUGGCUCUUUGGGGUCUAGUUGGGCCAGGUGGAGAUCCAGCCCUGCAGCACAGCAGAGAGAGCAGCUAAGUCAGUCUCAGCUUCAGGCUAGUUUAAUUUGUAUGGCGGAUGAUUUUUAUUUAUCAUGUGACUUGACACUAUAGCACUCACUCUGCGUGGUUAUCACCAGAGCAAUGGCAGCAGCGCAUGCCACAUUUUCUGCCUUUAGAAAUACAAAGCCUUGUCUCACAGAAGCUCAGACAUGCCCUGGCUGAUGGGAUCCGCAUCCUUUUGCGUGCUGGUUUAAAAAUAAUGCACGCACACACAGAGCAACAAGACAUGCUUUCCCCUGUUCCUGCAGCUUCCUGAGAGCACAGCCGGAUGUUUUUAGGCCGUGUUAGGGAUGGCCCAGGGAGAGGAGUCACAGUAGAGUUAGCAGGGAUGGGUCUGAUCACAGGACGUGGAUGGAGAAACGGCUAACAGCAGAUAGCAGAUCUGACUGCAGAUAGCAGUAUCAAAUUAUUACUCUGUGUACAAUGGUCUGCUGCAGAUUUCUGUGUCGUUGCACCGGUGCUGAGUGGUUGUAUUGCCACACACUAAAAAAAUCUGGCAAGAGGCUGUGCUGGUUUGAAACCCGACUCAAUGUUUUUUUGAGCCUGACUGAAAACAGAAGAAAGAAAAGAUGGUUGCCUGCAUCUGGAUCACACAUUGCUUGGGUUACAGCAGACAGGGCUCUUUUGUACUAGAGGAUUCUUGGGGCUGUCUGAGAUUCCAGACGUUGGUGACUUGUCCUUCACAAGCGUCUGUAUCAGAGACCUCAUCUAUGGUCAUCAUAGACAAACAUUCUCAAUGUUCAGUGAGUUGUGUGGUUACACAGAAUUUGCUCCUUAACAAAAACUGCUUUGAGAGGUGUUGUGCUGUAGCGUGUUCCUUCUUGCUUUGUGAGCGCGGUGCAAGACAUGACCAGCCAUGGUCCCUCACUGGGACUGACUUCCCGAGUUUGCCAGAUUGGAGAGCACAGAAGGAUGAAGAAGCAUUUCUCCUGGCUCAGCUGGCCAUCAAGACUCCCAUCAUCUGCUCAUUGAUUCUCAGCAUCCCAGACACCUGAGAGCUGUUUGUGAGUGCCCACAGAUGUCUGCUUGAUUGAUAGCUGAACUACUGAACACGCAGCACCACGAAGGCUGACACUGCCCGGCUUUUGCCACUGACCAACACAGCUGUGUCCAGCUCUGGUGAGUCACCUCGGUGAGCACUGUGCUCCUGCUGCUCACUGGGACCACAGCACUCAAAGGCCACCAGCCCAGUUUCGGUGCCCUGGUUUUCUUUGCUCGCCCUGCGGUUCCGCCCCACGCCCCACCCCACAGCGGUGUUAAUGAUGGGGUAGGGAUUGCUCUGGGCUGGUAGGAGGUGUGGGUCAUUCUGCCAGGGCAGUGAGCCGCGGUCAGUGGGACGCUGUGACACACUGCCCUGAGCUGCAGCUAUCAGGGCUGGACCGUGCUGCUGGGAGUCCAGUGACAGCGGGGGGAAGGUGCCCUCAGAGAGCUAAGCCAGUAGGUGAUUGGGAUCAGUUUUCCAGUGACAAGAUGGUUUUCUACUCCCAAACUCCAGGCCCAGCUCUGCAGCUGGGUUUAGUGCUGCUCAGCUCUGUGGCCAGCCUCAGCCCUUCCCCAGCGCAGGGAUCACUGCCAAAGCCCAGCACAGGGCAACCGCUGAGCUCCUCUUCUCCGUUUGAAAGCUUAUGUAAAAAAUGAUGAUAAGCUAAAUCUAGAUCUAUGCAGCAAUUAUGUGGGAUGCCAGACCUUGCACCUGUAGCAUAAUACAUAACAGAGCCAGCUAACUGCCUUGUCUAAUGAUUGCUCUGAACAGCACACAAAUCACAUUAUGGGGGGUGAGCUGAGAGCCAUUUUUCGUCCGAAGCUGAUGAGCUUGCAAAGACUUUCUUUGCCCCGUUCUCUCACACUGCAGGUUUGUUCUCUUCUCCUUGGAAUCCUUCCUGUUAUUUUUCUACCUUCCUGUCACAGGAUGCAAUGUUCAUUACAAUAAUAGAUCAAACUUUGAGUGGAAAAACUCCGCUUUGCAGUUGUCAUUAGGAUUUCCCAGUUUCAUUUCCUGCAACCCAUAAUGAGCAGGUGGAGGUUUUUGCAGGAUGCUUGGGUGGGAAAGAGAUGCCUAUAAACGUUAUCCCACCUUCACCUCUCAGCUGUCACCCUGAGGUGGGAUAGGCCAUCUCCUGAGGGACCUUGGCUUAGGAGCAUGGAUAACUGGAGAAGACCAGCACCUGAAUACCAGUCAGGCAACGGCAGAAGAUGACUCCAGCUCUCAUGAUGGAGAAGACAACUCCCACUCUCUCUGGGAACUUAAAAUGUCUGUAUUGAUUUCUUAACCUGGAAUGUGCUUUGGAAACUCUGUCUGGAAAGCCUGCUUUGUCUCUCUGCACCUAAAUACUUUAGAAGCGUGGUCAGAGAUGCUCCCAACGUGUGCUCUGGAUUCCCUGGUGAGAGACGCAGGAGGAAGUUUUGAGGUGGAAGAGCAGCAUCAGUGUCAGUUUGUUUGGAAGGAUUUUUGUGGACUGGACUUCUGUGGGUUUACUUGCUUCCUGUUACCCUUAUGUUAUCAGCAUGAAAAUAUUAAAUUGUGUGACCAAUGUAGCCAGUAAGACUGGCCACAGCUAUUAUAUAACGUCUGGUUGCUGUAAACAUCUCCAUGAUCAUUUCUUUGAUUGCAGUGCAAACAUAUCCUGUGCACAAUAUGUGGGUUACCAGGUAGAGUUAUGUCAUGAGUCAGGAUGAGCCAAUAUCAUAAGCAAAUGUUAAUGAAGGGUGGCAUUUUCAUUAGUUUCUCUGUAUUGACCUAUUUCACUUCCUAUCCAAGGCAGCAGCUGAAGAGAGCUGGCCUAAAUAGAUCAGCAUUCUGCAGCCCAGAAUUGUGAUACAGAGCUGGAGGGAGCACCGUUCUCCUGAGGGUGGCUGUUCUCAUCUGACACUAUGACAAAUAGUCCUAGGCUCCUUCUGUAUUAAAAAUAAAAGCCUUGAACUUGCAUAUUUCCUUAUGGAAAAAAUAGCUAUCUCAGGAUCCUGCUUAUACAACUGGAACAACUUUUGUUCUCCACCCCAUCUAAAGACAAGCAAAAGGCUUUUAUGUUCUCUAGGUUAUUAAUGAACAGGGCUUCCUCUGCUAAGAGGAUGUUUGGAGCACUGCUAAAAUCUCUGCUCAGGUCCCUUGAAUUGGGACAAGUGAUCUUACAUCACCUUCCUGAGCUAAUUGCCAGCCAUUAGAAAACACAUUUUUAGUAACACCUUUUGCUAAAUUAUUCCCUGCCUUUGCCUGCUUCAUCAUAGCACUUUUUUACAGGUAAACAGUUCUCUGCUCUCCAAGGAGUAGAGUUAAGUGCCUUUAUGACAUUUUAGAAAGGGAGGGACAUUAAUUUGUGCUCCCUGUUCUACCUUCCAUUUGAAAAAGGAAGGUAGUGGGGCAGUUUGUGAGGACUAGUGCUCAGAAGGAGGUCGUGUGAGGUGAUCUAACUUAUUAAAUCAAAGGAAAGUUGGACAAAGGAGUGACUUGCUCAGAGACAGAUAAAAAUUAUCCCAAACUGAAGGCAGAUUUGGUAACAAAGCCCUGGUCUGACAGCCAGUCCACCCUCUCUGCAAACAUCAUGCAGCAGGUAACAGAGCUAUGCUCAUGAAUCAUUGCCUUGUUUAUUUAAAAAAAGCCAACAAAUAUCUGACAGCAGUGAUGGGGUGACUGAGUGAGCAUCCAGCUGGCCUGCUGCAACCCGGGAAAGCCCUGCACAGCAGGGAGAGGGGAACAGCACCCAUUGCCUGCAGUGCCACAUGAGCUCUGGCAGAUGGGUUUUUUAGAGUCCAAGGAGUUUCUGUGCAACUGAGAAGCUGAAGUGGUUUGGAUUUUCCUACUCUGAAGCCUUCCUGUCUCUGUUCUCAUUUCACGUGUAAUUAAGGGAUUUUUUUUAAAGAAAGUACACCAGAGAAACCCUAACAACUGAGCCCUGCUGUGCAUAACACUGGGUCAACCCCAAGUGAUGCCGUGGAUGAAGAAACAUUUUUCCAUCUGCCUUUUCUCUGCUCACAUAGUAGUGUUUGUCCUUCUGCUUUGGCAUGUGGGCUAAGGGGAGCUCAAAGUGCCCCACGUAGCUGCCACCCCGGGGGGAAGCGUGGCUGUGUGCCAGCUGUGGGCUGCCUGGGCUGGGGUCACAGAGCUACAGUGUGAGGGCUGAGCUGGCUGAGCGUGUUCUGCGAGAGGCGGAUGCUCACCGGGGUUUGCUGCAGGGUGAGGUAGAGCUUUGUAUUGUGAGUGCACUGGGAAUCCCAGCCUGCACCACCCAGCUCGUGGAGGAUGCUGGAUCCAUCCUACACAGGCAUUACAAGCUACCACAACCUCCUCACACUGUGAUGCAAAGUCAUCUUGGCAAUAGCCCCAAAUAUUCUUCACAUUCACGUAUAAGCACUCCACCAUCACUUUGGAUUCUCCACUGCUGUGUACAAGAUUCUUGCAGAGUAUCCUGGGUUAUGAAAGCCUUAAGACAGAAAUGGUCUUUCGGAUCAGUGUUUAUCCAGCAUCUGGCUUCCUGCCAGUCUGGCCAAAGACUGGAGUCCCUUCAUAUUUCCACAUCAGAGAAAGGUUAAUCAUCACAACCCUCAGCCUCUUACAUGUCUAGGUGAUGAAUCCUUCCCACGCCUCUGUAGGACCAGUGCAUGUAGGAGACCAGUCUUGGGGUGUGAUGCCACAGUGCCCCAGUACCAAAAGUUCACAGACUGAAAACUCUGAGACUGCCCCUUUGCAUAGAUAGGGAAACUGAUAUAGAGGGAGGGGAGGAGACCACGUGCAUAUUACCAGAGAACUGCACUGGUUCAGCCUCUGUGCUCCAACCAGGUGUGUCAUAGUGAUGGACAUGCUAUGCCAUCCUAUGCCAUGCCAUCCCAACACCACCAAGCAGCCAGAGGCACACUGCUCCUGUGCAAAUGAAGCAGCAGCACAAUCAGGAAGAGUAGAAGAGCCUGAUUAAUCUGCUGUGACAGAGGCCCACCCAACAGGGCUUGGUCCCAGGAUCACUGGUAAUGCUGAUGGAUCAAUAGGGCCUUUGUACCCUUCCACCUCCCCCAGGUGCUCCCCUCCAUCUGACGGCAGCAAACAUGUUUUGAACAAAGCACAGAGGGUUGGCCCGCUCCCACUGGCCGGUGAGGUGCUAUGAAUUAGUUGGCAGGUUUUAAUCCAGUAAAGCCUAGUUAACACUGUC